AGUGAACGCUGGCGGUGGGCCUAACACAUGCAAGUCGAACGGCAGCACAGUAAGAGCUUGCUCUUACGGGUGGCGAGUGGCGGACGGGUGAGGAAUACAUCGGAAUCUACUUUUUCGUGGGGGAUAACGUAGGGAAACUUACGCUAAUACCGCAUACGACCUACGGGUGAAAGCAGGGGAUCUUCGGACCUUGCGCGAUUGAAUGAGCCGAUGUCGGAUUAGCUAGUUGGCGGGGUAAAGGCCCACCAAGGCGACGAUCCGUAGCUGGUCUGAGAGGGUGAUCAGCCACACUGGAACUGAGACACGGUCCAGACUCCUACGGGAGGCAGCAGUGGGGAAUAUUGGACAAUGGGCGCAAGCCUGAUCCAGCCAUACCGCGUGGGUGAAGAAGGCCUUCGGGUUGUAAAGCCCUUUUGUUGGGAAAGAAAAGCAGCAGGUUAAUACCCCGCUGUUCUGACGGUACCCAAAGAAUAAGCACCGGCUAACUUCGUG
rnacentral:rRNA from 1 species